AUGCCGCCCUGCCCGACCCGCUCACCCCGCCGCUCCGCCCGUCCCGCUCGCCCCCUUCCCAGCCGCUCACCCCGCCCGUCUCGCUCGCCGUGGCCGAUGACCACGCCACCAGAGACCGCAGACCUUGGCGCAGGCUCGUGCUCCCGAGUGGUGGUCCCUCCUCGUCGCCACCCCUCUCCUCUGCCCCGUGUCGGAUCCGAGGCAUGCGGGUACGGAGGCGAGCUUCUCCAGCGGUGCCCGCCUCCCUCUCGUCUCCUCAAUCCUCUUCAUAUCGUCCCGCGUUCUCGAUCUAUGCCACCACGUGCUGUGGUUCUGGAUUGGGCACAGACUCCCGCCAUUGGAGAGCAGCGGCGGUGAGGUCUUCAGCUCGGGUACGAGGAGCAGGGGGGUGAGGUGGACGGUGUUGUGGGGAAGAAGUGAUUGAUGUGGCCGGCAGCGAGCGCCGGUGAGCGACGAGGAGGCCACCAUCUCUCCUCAUAUCCUCCCAGAUGCUCGAUUGGAGCGGGGGAUAGACGCCGCCACAAGCCACCGGGGAUGCCACUGCAUUAUCGUCGGCUGGACGAGGAAAACAGCAAGAUGCUGGCCUAUGCAUCGGACGUGGGCCGCUUCAGCUUUAGGGGAGAUUUGACGAUGGCGCAAGGUCCCCCACUUCCUUGUUGUGGCGCUGCAGCGUCAUGGGCCCUUCUGAAGGGAGGCACAUCGGAGGGUGGUAGCAGGUACGUCACUUGAUAACUAGCCUUGCUAAAACAACCAGGUACAUAUCCCAGUUUCUUCUUACCAUGACCUCUAUAUUCCAACCUUUCCACACUACACUACAGCAAUACAGGCGCUCCAUUGUGUGUGUCAAUGUUUUCCUGUACUCAUGAUUUUUCUCAACCAAUGAUUUGUCUGAAGUGCCAUUGGUAUUAAUUGUUAAGUGAAAUAACCAUAAAAGGACAAAUAAAAUAGAAUCUAUUUGUUUAGCAAAUAUAUAUUAGUGUUUAAUGGUAAAAGUUUCAAAAGUUUUUAACAUCGAUCUGAAGUUGACCUUGGUUCAGGGACGAAGGCAUUAUAUACCUUUGAAUUCCCUCUUUUGUUGUUUAUUGUUGGAUUUGACAGGCAGUUUUUUUCCAGUGGUUGUCGUGGCCUGAAGCAGCAAGUAUUGUGGAGAUUGAUGGACUAGGUGUUUGCAGCCGUAGUCCAUCAUGCUCUCGGUUGCUGACGUUGAGGUCCAGCCGCAGCUGCCCGUCGCUUAGGGGAUGCUUCUAAGCUGCAAUGCUCCAUGUCCGAUGCAAUAUGUUUCUGCUUUAUUGAAGAGGAGUAACUUGUGCUGGGAAAGAUUCCCGAAGGUGAUGUCAGAUCAUUGGUAAAUAACAAGGAAUCCUUAGAACCUGUCAUCUGGUAGUAUUUGUCUGCGAUAGGUAUGCAUUCUGUCCAACUAAUCAGAGUAUUCCAGAUUGAGUAAUGCUAGAGAUACAAACAUAUUAUAUAUACAUUUUAAUGCUUUAGCUUCCAUAGUGAGAGCAAGUUGCAAGACCAGAUGCCAUGCGGUCUUACUGCGAGCUCGUCCAGUUCAUGGUGACUUGGUGACGACUCAAAUCCACCUACCUCUUUCUCUCCAUGUCUCCUUUUGUUGCUGUUUGUUGGAACUUUGGAUUGCGUUGGCUUGAUGGCUGUUUCGGAUUAAUCAAGGGAUUUUGUUUAGCUUAGUUUCAUUACCGGCAAGCCUAAGAGAGUCAUUCUUUAGUGUGGGUUAAAUGAAUCAGAGGAUUUGAAGAACGGUUCAAUUGAUAUGUACUAAGCAAACCCAUGUGCUUGCAAUCACGUAUGGUUUUAGCCAUGUUGCUGCUAGAAAGCUUCCUUCAAUUGAACCGAUCUUCUCAGUAGCUAAUGGAGCGCAAUGGCAGGAACAGAGUGGCCAAUUGAAUCUGAUAGUCUGGUUUCUUUGUACUCAUGUCUUGCAGAGUAGUUUCCUAACUGAUUGUUUGGCAACAGGUAUUUUGAAGAACUCAAACUCAUGGUAACAAAUGAACUAGCAAAGAGAGCCAUUUAUACCUCUCUUCUGUUAGAUAAUCCCGUGAAGGACACACACAUAAAAGCCAUGAAGGACGAAGAAAGAAUUAUUGAUAUAUUAUUAUGUUUCUUCUUUGCAAAUAUAUUGCUAUGGUUGUUAGCUAUGUAUACGCCCGGGUGGGAUAAUGUAUAGUUGUAUUGAUUUAGCUUACCGACCUUGCCACGUUCAUGUUUUCAUUUCCUUUUGUUCAUGAUGAUUGUUUUUUUUUGUGCAGACCUAGAUUGUAGGAUUGCAUGAGUUGGGGCUUGCGAUUUCCCAUUGUGGUGCACAGGUAGAUUGUAUGAUGUACUUGCCGAAAUGAGCAUGGUCGCCAUGCUAAUUGUUCAAAUAUUCUAUGGCUAUUUCAGUGCUUAUCUCAGUUACUUGAUUUCUUUUGUAGUACUGCCAGGGGUGGCUGUUUGUUUACUGCAGGGGGUGUUGAUCUGAUGCCCCAUUAUUUGAUUACAUGUUUGAUGCUCUCCAAAAAAUGCUACAAAUAAUCAUAAGAAACUUCUCGCGAUAGAUUUACAAUUAGGGAUAUUUCCAAAUGUUUACUUCUAAUUCAUUAGCACAUCCUCUGUUUUUUUAAUUAAUUGUUGCCUCCUGCUUUUUGUUUAUCUUAGCCUUCUGGUGCUUUUGGUGUAUGGGCAAAACAGGUCAGAGUACAAAGUGGUGAAUUGCAUUUCACAUGCCAAGAUAAACAAAGAAUAAAAAAAGAAAACAUGGUAUUCUCUAACACAAGAGCAUGAUACCUUGGGUCCAUUGGUGCAGACCAAGAGAUAAGAACUACUUAUGCUGCAAUAGUUUCAGUGGAAGUAUAGUCAGGUGUUUAAUUGUUUUUUUUUACAGUUUUAGCUAAUUGGCUGGGUAUCCACUUUAUCUUUUGUGCUUGCACAUAUAAUCGAUUCUCUGGUCCUACUCGCAUGUUCUCUAAUUAUCUUGGAGUGCUGGCAAGUAAUUAGAACAUAUCUUGGUCCAUACUUGCAUUAGAAUAUGCCACAUAGAAGGAUGUGGCAUAUCUUGGAAUAAGAAUGGCCACACGAGCAUUCUGUCAUGAUAUUGUAAUGAGUGGUCGAUACUUGUGGCAGUGCUGCAAUGGUGCUAUGAUGCAUGUUUGCACAAGAUGCCUGUAAAUUAUUGAUCUUCGUCGUGCUUCCUGCUUACUAUUAGUUCAAUUGAGCCCAAUCUUUCUGGUCGUAUUGCUACAUGCUUAUGAUUAAUUUCUAUAUUUCUUGGUUGUUGUAUUGUAGGACAGGGAGGCAGAAGAGAGGGCAUGCCGGGGAAUGAAGGAGAACAAACAGUGUCUCACGCACACAAGCUAAAGGUUCACCAAGUUUAGGGAAAGAAAAGUUUCCCUAGACAGGUGGCGGCGGCGGUCAAGACAAGAGCGACGCUGUGAGCGACGGCUCUCGAUCGUCUUCCUUGUGGAAUCAGGUACGCAUCGUCCAUCGUGGCCCAUCGUGGGUGUUGGCGAGCGGCCGGAGGCGGCUACAGCAGGCCAGUGUCCGUGAUCAAGACUGACACCGGGAAGGCUGCCGGUCUACAGUUGUGCACUCAAUUCAAAUGAUUAUUCUCUGUUCUUUGCCUCAGAACUACAUAUGAGAGCUACAAAGGGUUGGCCAAGAUACUCAAUUAAGCUAUUUGAUUUAAGGCACACUGCAACUUCUUUUUCGCUUACAAGGUUGUACAAAGGAGUCCAUGGCAUCAAUUGCUUGGAUACACAGUCCCAAUACUUCUUUCUUCCCACACUGCAUGGUUUGCUGGAUGAUGUGUGCCUUGCACUGCUCCCCCAAUGUUUCACUUCCUCCGCCAUGGAGUACUACCUACAAAAAGCCAGGGAGCCACGCAAGGGAAGAGCAGAGCGGUUUUGUAGGCACAUUCGAAGCUUCCCGGUGGCAUGCGACGUGUAGUUCACUCGCUUGAGCAAGCGGUUUGGCAGGCACGUUAGGUGCAGUGCGUUGGCAUGAUCUUGUAGUGUGGGCAUGUAUGUUCGUGAUGUGUGCCCGUGUUUCUUGCAGUGGCCGAGCACCCAUGGCCUCUCGCGGUCCGAAGGCUUCGGCGUGCAGUGUAGCUCAUAUUGUCCUUCAGUGCGUUUUAGUCCAAAAAGGAAACUUGGAAAGGUUGCUGUUUAGCUCUUGUUUGUGACAAGAAUUUGGUGCUUCACUUUUGUUAAUAAAACCACGAGCGGUAUUCUUUCUUUUUA